UCAUUGUUAGUUUCUUCACUAACAGCAGCCAUAGAUGCGGAGUAUAAAAUGGUUUCACUUUUAUCCCCUUCAUCCUCAGCUACUCGAGCAUGAACUUAUUUAUUUUCAGUUCUUUUACUCCAACAAUCUUUAGCAUAAUGACCCAAUUUACCGUAGUUAUAGCAUUUAAGGGGAGGUUUUUGCUGACCUGGAUUGUUGUAAUUUCCUCUUAGCUGGAAAUGAUAAUUACCUCUUCCACGGCCACGAUAGUUGCCGGUGCCUCCACGACCUCUGCCUC
rnacentral:lncRNA from 1 species